UACGAAGGGGGAGCUAGCGUUGCUCGGAAUCACUGGGCGUAAAGCGCACGUAGGCGGCUUUUUAAGUCAGGGGUGAAAUCCUGGAGCUCAACUCCAGAACUGCCUUUGAUACUGAAGAUCUUGAGUUCGGGAGAGGUGAGUGGAACUGCGAGUGUAGAGGUGAAAUUCGUAGAUAUUCGCAAGAACACCAGUGGCGAAGGCGGCUCACUGGCCCGAUACUGACGCUGAGGCACGAAAGCGUGGGGAGCAAACAGGG
rnacentral:rRNA from 1 species